GGUGGCUCAGUGGUAGAGCGCUUGCCUUGCAUGCAUGAAGCCCUAGGUUCAAUUCCUCAGCACCA
rfam:Dipodomys ordii contig_13560, whole genome shotgun sequence.